rnacentral:hammerhead_ribozyme from 1 species
CUGACGAGUCCCAAAUAGGACGAAAUGCGCAUU